CUGGUGUCGGUGCUGGGGAGUGGCCCCCGGGCGGGCCUCUGCCCCUUUUGGGGCCCGCACUCUCGUUCUGUGCCCG
rnacentral:pre_miRNA from 1 species